AGACCUGUCUCCGUUCGGAUUGGAGUCUGCAACUCGACUCCAUGAAGCUGGAUUCGCUAGUAAUCGCGCAUCAGCCAUGGCGCGGUGAAUACGUUCCCGGGCCUUGUACACACCGCCCGUCAAGCCAUGGAAGCCGGGAGUGCCUGAAGUGUGCAACCGCAAGGAGCGCCCUAAGGUAAAACUGGUGACUGGGGCUAAGUCGUAACAAGGUAUC
rnacentral:rRNA from 1 species